rnacentral:rRNA from 1 species
GAUGAACGCUGGCGGCGUGCCUAAUACAUGCAAGUCGAGCGAACAGACGAGGAGCUUGCUCCUCUGACGUUAGCGGCGGACGGGUGAGUAACACGUGGAUAACCUACCUAUAAGACUGGGAUAACUUCGGGAAACCGGAGCUAAUACCGGAUAAUAUAUUGAACCGCAUGGUUCAAUAGUGAAAGACGGUUUUGCUGUCACUUAUAGAUGGAUCCGCGCCGCAUUAGCUAGUUGGUAAGGUAACGGCUUACCAAGGCAACGAUGCGUAGCCGACCUGAGAGGGUGAUCGGACACACUGGAACUGAGAAACGGUCCAGACUCCUACGGGAGGCAGCAGUAGGGAAUCUUCCGCAAUGGGCGAAAGCCUGACGGAGCAACGCCGCGUGAGUGAUGAAGGUCUUCGGAUCGUAAAACUCUGUUAUUAGGGAAGAACAAAUGUGUAAGUAACUAUGCACGUCUUGACGGUACCUAAUCAGAAAGCCACGGCUAACUACGUG